GAUGAACGCUGGCGGCGUGCCUAAUACAUGCAAGUCGAGCGAACAGACGAGGAGCUUGCUCCUCUGACGUUAGCGGCGGACGGGUGAGUAACACGUGGAUAACCUACCUAUAAGACUGGGAUAACCUCGGGAAACCGGAGCUAAUACCGGAUAACAUGUUGAACCGCAUGGUUCAACAGUGAAAGACGGUCUUGCUGUCACUUAUAGAUGGAUCCGCGCCGCAUUAGCUAGUUGGUAAGGUAACGGCUUACCAAGGCAACGAUGCGUAGCCGACCUGAGAGGGUGAGCGGCCACACUGGAACUGAGACACGGUCCAGACUCCUACGGGAGGCAGCAGUAGGGAUGCUGCCGCAAUGGGCGAAAGCCUGACGGAGCAACGCCGCGUGAGUGAGGAAGGUCUUCGGAUCGUAAAACUCUGUUAUUAGGGAAGAACAAAUGUGUAAGUAACUAUGCACGUCGUGACGGUACCUAAACAGAAAGCCACGGCUAACUACGUG
rnacentral:rRNA from 1 species